CACAAUUUACUUUAUAUUGUUGCUCAAUAUGUAAUGAAGUAAUUUGUGUACGGUUUUGUAUCUAAAAAAUAUGGUAUUCUAAAAGGGCUAAUGUCACCCAGUGAAUCCUCGCUUAAAUGUUAACCACCUCAGACUUUGUUUUUGCGAGGGAUGUGGGACAAUUUCAAACAUUAUGUGAAAUAGAAUAUUUAAUAUAUAAAUUGUACAUAAUUAUGCUCUGGAGAUGUGGCGAAAAAAUAGUGAGUAACCCUGGUCUAGGCACUAUUGAGCGUAGGUGGCGAGGUUACUAAACAAUCACCUGUUAGCUUACCAGCGUGAAGAUAUGCAGACAAGAUUACAGGUAUCAUAAAUCAUGUUUAAUUGUAUGUGUUUUCUUAAUUGAGUGUGCAAUUUCACAUUUGUUGGCCCUUUUUUUGGUAAAUAAAUAAAUGAUAAAUGGGUUGUACUUGUAUAGCGCUUUUCUACCUUCAAGGUACUCAAAGCGCUUUGACACUACUUCCACAUUUACCCAUUCACACACACAUUCACACACUGAUGGAGGAAGCUGACAUGCAAGGCGCUAACCAGCACCCAUCAGGAGCAAGGGUGAAGUGUCUUGCUGAGGACACAACGGACGUGACGAGGUUGGUACUAGGUAGGGAUUGAACCAGGGACCCUCGGGUUGCGCACGGCCACUACCACUGCGCCACGCCGUCCCUUAUAUUUGUAUAUACAGUAUUUGUUUUGACUGGGCCUCUAAACCUUGGCUGUAUGUUUCGUUUCAAAAUAACUGAUUUGAAACUCAUUUUAAAAAUGUAUCAAAUGACCUGUCGGUUUCUGCUUUUUGUUUCCUAGCAUUUCCCAAAUUCGGUGUCCCAGCUGUAACAGAAGGUGUCAAAGUUGUUGACAGUUCAGGGACUGAGAUAGAUGAUGAUGUUUUUGAGGAAAUUGUGAAGGAUCCAUCCACUGGGGUACUAACCAUCAAAUACAAAACAGAAUCUGUCUCCAUGGUAACCUCUCCAAAGUCCCAAACAUCCGUUUGUUCAUCGGACUGAGACACAAUCAUCCUUGAAGACACUCCUACCAGAAAGCGUCAGAAGCUGGACUCUGAAACUAUGGAACUAGUGAAAUCCGUUCUUACCAAGAAAUCGGGUGGAGAAUAUAUAAUAAAUGAAUACAACCGAACUAAGUCCUUGACAGAUGAGAGCAGAAGAAAAUUGGUUAAUAUACUGGCAGCUGAGAU